GCAGUCGCCGCGGUAAUACGAAGGGGGCUAGCGUUGUUCGGAUUUACUGGGCGUAAAGCGUGCGCAGGCGGUUAUGUAAGACAGGUGUGAAAUCCCCGGGCUUAACCUGGGAACUGCCUUUGUGACUGCAGGGCUGGAGUGCGGCAGAGGGGGAUGGAAUUCCGCGUGUAGCAGUGAAAUGCGUAGAUAUGCGGAGGAACACCGAUGGCGAAGGCAAUCCCCUGGGCCUGCACUGACGCUCAUGCACGAGAGCGUGGGGAGCAAACAGGAUUAGAUACCCCUGUAGUCCCUGUCUCUUAUAC
rnacentral:rRNA from 1 species